UUCACCCUUUAAGGACAGAGCGUGGAUUGUUCUCUCUCCCGUCUCCACCUUUGGAUGGGGUUGUGAAUAUAUUCUUUUUCUUUUAUUUUCUCCUAGAUUCAGACUUAUCAAUGAGAGUUUUAUUAGAUCUGAUUUUUCUGUGGUUUGGUUGUUGGUCCUUUAUGCUUGCAUGUGUUGAGAGCGUUUGGACAAGGAGAGAGGGAAGGCGAUAUUGAAGCUUCUUCUUCCUUGAUUCCAGAGAUUUUUGUGUUUUUUUUUUCCUCUUUUGGCUUGUAAAGUAUUAUUUCUAAGUUGAUGCAGGCCUUCUGGUUGUCUAGACGGUCGAUCCUUAAGACUAAGAUGUUAAUGAGCUCUUUCCUCCAUCCUCUUCCGACCUAGACGAAUCAUGGCGGUGCUUAUAUGUUUUUUGCUUCUAUCCUGGAGAUAUGCGCAAACUUCUCAGUGUUUUUAUUUUUUGGGUAAUUUACGAUUUAGUCCCUGGGUAUUACCAUUAUUAACAAGUCAGUCCCUGUAUUUUUAGAAACCUAUUAAAACGUCCUUAUAUUUUAUUUCCGUCAACGAAAUAGUCCUUCCGUCCUAUUUUCCGUUAAAAUUAGAUAAAGGAGGAGAGAGAAAAUUUUUAAAAUUCAAUUUUACCCUCAAAUAAAAUUAUUUAUUUAGUCCUUAUAUAUUACAAUUAUUAACAAGUUAGUCCUUACAUUUUCAAAAAUCUAUUAAAAUAUUUUUAUCUUUUUUCAUAUCUAUUAAAACGUACUUAUCGUUUUUUUAUGUCAAUUAAAUAGUCCCUAUCUUUUCUCAGAUCUAUUAAAACGUCCUUAUCGUUUCUUUUUAUCAACGAAAUAGUCCCUAUCUUUUCUUUCGUCGUCCUCCUCCACCUCCUC
rnacentral:lncRNA from 1 species